AGACUGGAAUGAAUGGAUUUAUGGGGCAUCACUUUCUUAUGUUAAAUGUUAAAAAUAAUUUUUUUAGUGAAGAAACUAAAAUAAGUAUGAAAGACGAGAAGACCCUAUUAAGCUUAAAUAAGAUUAUUUUGUUGGGGAAAUAAAAGAAGAAAACUUCUUUAAAAUUUAUUUUUGAUAAAAAAUGAUUUAUUAUUAAUAAUAAUAGAAAAAGUUACUAUAGGGAUAACAGCAUAAUUUUUUUUAAAAGUUCGUAUAAACAAAGAAGAUUAUGACCUCGAUGUUGGAUUAAAAUAAUUAUAUAAUGAAGUUGUUGUAUAAAUUAGUCUGUUCGACUAUUAAAGUUUUAC
rnacentral:rRNA from 1 species